AUUGAACGCUGGCGGCAUGCCUAACACAUGCAAGUCGAACGGGAUCCUUUGGAUUCGUCUGAAGGUGAGAGUGGCGAACGGGUGAGUAUCGCGUUGGUGACCUGCCCCAGAGAGGGGGACAACCAGUGGAAACGCUGGCUAAUACCCCGGAUGUCAAUGUGUUUAGAAAACAUUGACUAAAGCUCCGGCGCUCUGGGAGGGGCCUGCGUCCCAUCAGCUUGUUGGUAGGGUAAUGGCCUACCAAGGCUAAGACGGGUAGGGGGCGUGAGAGCGUGGCCCCCCACACUGGUACUGAAACACGGACCAGAUACCUACGGGUAGCAGCAGCAAGGAAUAUUGCCCAAUGGACGAAAGUCUGAGGCAGCAACGCCGCGUGGAGGAUGAAGGCCUUCGGGUUGUAAACUCCUUUUCUGGGGGAAGAGAAAGGACGGUACCCCAGGAAUAAGGCCCGGCUAACUACGUG
rnacentral:rRNA from 1 species